rnacentral:lncRNA from 1 species
GUUGUGGGAACCUCCAAUCUGUAGCCUCUGGGUUAGAAGCAUAGGAAACAACCUAAGCUUUCAACUGGCAUCUUCUGGGAAUGAGCCCUUAACCUGUGGAAUUCAAUGCCAUCUCCAGGUGGACAGAGUCAGAACUAUGUUGAAUUUUAGGAUGCUCACCUGGUGUCCAGGGAAUUACUUGGUGAUGAGGUGUGAGGAAAUCCCCCCACCCCCACCACACACACAUUGGAAUUUGUGACCAGAAUUUUUAGUCACAUUUGCAGGUUCCGGCUGGAUGUGAAUUUUGGUGGGACACUAUUGAACCCAGUAAACGUAGUGAGAAAGAAAUGUAUUCUGAGACAGACCCAAGCUAAGGACCUUGUUGAGAAAGCCCUGGGUAAUUUUUCACACUACCCACCUCCAGAGCCUUCCAAUACAACCGAUGGAGCUUUGUACCUACUCAGGCCGGGGUGGGAAGUGCCUGGAUUCAGAUGCCUUGGUCUCCUAGGACUGCCAAACUCUUCUUGACACGUCUAUCAGGGAUGUCCCCACCUAACAAUUUCCCAUUACUGUAGUAAUGGCUCUCCCCCAUGCUUUCCCCUCACUCCUCUGCCUCCUGGCCAACUCUGGUACUUCUUCAUGUGGCUCUGCAUGGUGUGGUGUGCCUCCUCCUCUUGGGAAUUGUAAGUAAUAAACUCUUCUCUCAAAGGCAUUGACCUUUGCAUGUCAUCACUCAGUCAUACCUAUAAAUUAAAUCUUGGGUAUAUUUAAAACAGUUGUUUUGAGAUUUAAGUUUUACUUAUUUUUUGGUUUUUUGGAGUUUUUUUAAGGAAGAUUAGCCCUGAGGUAACAUCUGCUGCAAAUCCUCCUCUUUUUGCUGAGGAAGACUGGCCCUGAGCUAACAUCCGUGCCCAUCUUCCUCUACUUUGUAUGCGGGAUGCCUACCACACAGCAUGGCUUGCCAAGCAGUGCCAUGUCCCCACCGGGAUCUGAACUGAUAAACCCCAGGCCACUGAAGUAGAACGUGUGAACUUAAAUGCUGAGCCACUGGGCCGGCCCCAAGAGAUUUCAAUUUUAAAUGAGUCAAUU